rnacentral:rRNA from 1 species
UACGGGGGGGGCAAGCGUUGUUCGGAAUUACUGGGCGUAAAGGGCUCGUAGGUGGCCAACUAAGUCAGACGUGAAAUCCCUCGGCUUAACCGGGGAACUGCCUGAUACUGGAUGGCUAGAGAUUGGGAGAGGGAUGCGGAAUUCCAGGUGUAGCGGUGAAAUUCGUAGAUAUCUGGAGGAACACCGGUGGCGAAGGCGGCAUCCUGGACCAACACUGACGCUGAGGAGCGAAAGCCAGGGGAGCAAACGGG